UCGACUCUGAAUUAAACAUAUCGCGAUAUGUUAGGUAUAUAUAAAAUGGCCGUUUUUUCCCAUUUCAUUAUUUUUUUUUUUUUGUUUUUGUUUUCACAACUAACAAAAGAGUAUUAUAUUUUAAAUUACUUUAGAAUGACGAGAAAGAUUUUUUAAGAAACUAUUCUACAUGUACUUUACGCUAACUUUAAUGCUUAAAAGUCUUUUAUAUUUUAAAAUGUAACAAACUGUAAAAUAUGUGGUAUUUUAAUUAAAUACAGUAAAGUACUCCAUCCGUUUCAAAAUAUUACAUAUUUGAGAUUUUCACACAUUUUAAUAAACACAUUAAAUGUGCAUAUUUUUUUGUGAUUAUAUUUUUCUAUAAUUUUAAGCCAAUAAAAAUC
rnacentral:lncRNA from 1 species